AUUGAACGCUGGCGGCAUGCUUUACACAUGCAAGUCGAACGGCAGCGCGGGCUUCGGCCUGGCGGCGAGUGGCGAACGGGUGAGUAAUGCAUCGGAACGUGCCCAGUAGUGGGGGAUAGCCCGGCGAAAGCCGGAUUAAUAUCGCAUACGACCUGAGGGUGAAAGCGGGGGACCGAAAGGCCUCGCGCUAUUGGAGCGGCCGAUGUCGGAUUAGCUAGUUGGUGGGGUAAAGGCUUACCAAGGCGACGAUCCGUAGCUGGUCUGAGAGGACGACCAGCCACACUGGGACUGAGACACGGCCCAGACUCCUACGGGAGGCAGCAGUGGGGAAUUUUGGACAAUGGGGGCAACCCUGAUCCAGCCAUGCCGCGUGAGGGAAGAAGGCCUUCGGGUUGUAAACCGCUUUUGUUCGGGAAGAAAUCCUCUGGGCUAAUACCCCGGGGGGAUGACGGUACCGGAAGAAUAAGCACCGGCUAACUACGUG
rnacentral:rRNA from 1 species